GUGCAGCAGGCGCGAAACUUUACAAUGUGCGAAAGCACGAUAAGGGAACUCUGAGUGCCUCCUAAGGAGGCUGUUCAGGUGUCUAAAAGCACCUGGAGUAAGGGCUGGGUAAGACCGGUGCCAGCCGCCGCGGUAACACCGGCAGCCCAGGUGGUAGCCACUUUUAUUGGGUCUAAAGCGUCCGUAGCCGGUUGAGUAAGUUCCUUGGGAAAUUUGGCUGCUCAACAGUCAAGCUUCCAGGGAAUACUGCUCGACUUGGGACUGGGAGAGGUCAGAGGUACUCCAGGGGUAGGGGUGAAAUCCAUUAAUCCCUGGGGGACCACCGGUAGCGAAGGCGUCUGGACCAGACCAGGUCCGACGGUGAGGGACGAAGGCUAGGGGCGCGAACCGGAUUAGAUACCCCGGUAGU
rnacentral:rRNA from 1 species